AAGUGCCCGGCCUCCGCCGACUGCCUCCCCUCCCGUCCCGGCUCUCCACCGCCACCACGGAGAGGCGCGAUCGGGGACUCCGAGUCCCGGAGCAGGCUGGGGCCGAGCGGAGAGGCCGGGCUUUGGGGAGGAGGGGCCGCCGCCCAGGCCUGCGACCAUGACCUCGGCCUCCCCGGGCCGGGCGGGGUCCCGGCGGGCAAGCCUAGUCAGCGCAGGCCGCGGAGCCCGGGCGCAGGGCCGUCAAGCUCCCCGGGAGUCCCGAGAACACACAGCGCGCUGGAGCGCAGAGGCCACACGCCCGGGGCCCGCCUGCGGCCGGACCGUGACCUUGGCCUCGCAAGCACCCCCGUUUUUUUUUUUUUUUUCCAUGUUUCCCCCUCCCCCCGCCCUGCCGUCUUCUAAAUUGCCUGCCUCGUCGUCGGUGAAGGAGUCGCUCGGGCUGGUGGCGACAGCUCCCCGCUACUCCGCUCUGCGCACCUCGCCCUCUCCCGGGUCUCCGGGCCCACCGUGGGCCCCCGCCUCCCCCGGACCCCAGCUUUGACGCCGCGAGGCCGCCGCAGCAGUGCAGGGUCCUAGCAAUCCGACCGGAGGAUCCACUCAGAAGACUAAAAUCGAGGAACCCCAGGAAAAAGAAUGGGGCCGGUGAGGGCUUUCCCCAAAUAUAUACCCUUCGAGAGUCGCCGGUUUAUUUAUACUAAAAAGUGCUGAACCCCUUCCUUCGUCGUGUUUAUUAUGAAGCAGGCAGUCCUGCAGAGGGAGGGAAGCGCUUUCUCUGAACAAAAACAAAAUGUGAAGACUCGAGUCUGGAGCCUUCAACACUGGGAGCCAAACAGCGUCGUCCAAAUCAGAUCUUACUUAAAAAGAAAGGAAGGAAGAAAGAAAGAAAGGGAAGAGAAGAAAGAAAAGGAAAGAAAAGAGAAGGAAAGGGAAAAAAAGGAGAAAAAAGAAAAGACAAAAGAAAAGAAAAAAGAAAAGGAAAGGAAAGAAAAGGGAAAAAAAUCUCCGCCUGGAGAGUCAGCAGAAAUACUGUUACCCUCCCCGUGAGCAACAAACCGUUUAUCAAAAACGCCUUCCCCAUCCCCCACCUGCUCUUUGCCAUUACUACAAACUCUUUGCUCCAUUAUCUUACACUUGAGCAGAAAAUCGUUAGAAAUAUUUGGAAACGAAAUAAUGUGUCACUAUCCUUCGAAAAAAGGCUAAAAAUAGCACACAAGCUGACUUAACCGGAGGGUGUCUUUCUCCCUUUCCUUCUCUUUCCUGAGGGCUGGGCAUUGAGAGGGGGUUGUGAAGUUGUCCUCGGCUGUAGGAAACAGUGAGCACUGGAUAAAGGGACAUCAAUUAGACAUUCUGCAGGGAUUUUAUGCGCCCCUUUCACACCUUCCCUAAAUGGGAUAAACUUGAUUAUCCUAAACCCACCUCUGACUUAAAAGCACUUCCCUCUCUGUGAAUAAAGAAUUUGUAUUUUCUGUUAAGAUGGAAUGAGAUGUGCAAAUAUCCAACUGAAAGGAAGAGUCAGGCGGGGCACAGUGAAAAUCCCCAAACACCUUUCUGAACAAGUGAAUGUGUGCUUAAGCCAUUCAUUCCAGAGUAGAUUUUUAUUAUGAGAAAAAUGAAAAGUGCUUGCAUGAAAUUUUUAUGCAAUUAACACUGUUCCUGGGGAAGAUUUGGUCUAGGAUUAAAUGAACUAACCUGCCGUGAAUAGACGUCCAGUCUAUUCUUAAAAAAAAAAAAAAAAUCUGUAAAAUGCCUCCCCCCUCCCCCCCCCCAAC